rnacentral:rRNA from 1 species
GGCCGCAGUAUUUUAACUGUGCAAAGGUAGCAUAAUCAUUAGUCUUUUAAUUGAAGGCUGGAAUGAAUGGUUGGACGAAAUAUAAGCUGUUUCAUAAAAAUUUUAAUUAGAAUUUUAUUUUUUAGUUAAAAAGCUAAAAUUUAUUUAAAAGACGAGAAGACCCUAUAAAUCUUUAUAUUUAUUUUUAUUAUGAUUGUAUGGAUUUUUUUUAUUAUAAUAAUUUAUAAUAUUUUAUUGGGGUGAUAUUAAAAUUUAAUUAACUUUUAAUUAAAAUAUUCAUUAAUUAAUGUUUUUUUGAUCCGAUAUUAACGAUUAUUAGAAUAAGUUACUUUAGGGAUAACAGCGUAAUUUUUUUGGAGAGUUCUUAUUGAUAAAAAAGAUUGCGACCUCGAUGUUGGAUU